rnacentral:tRNA from 2 species
UCCUCGAUAGUAAAGUGUUGAGUAUCCCCGCCUGUCACGCGGAAGACCGGGGUUCGAUUCCCCGUCGGGGAA